UACAGAGGUCUCAAGCGUUGUUCGGAUACAUUGGGCGUAAAGGGUGCGUAGGCGGCGCGAUAAGUCGGGUGUGAAAUCUCGGAGCUUAACUCCGAAACUGCAUUCGAUACUGCCGUGCUUGAGGACUGGAGAGGAGACUGGAAUUUACGGUGUAGCGGUGAAAUGCGUAGAUAUCGGGAGGAACACCUGAGGCGAAGGCGGGCUACUGGGCUGAUACUGACGCUGAGGCGCGAAAGCCAGGGGAGCAAACGGG
rnacentral:rRNA from 1 species